AACACAUGCAAGUCGAGGGGCGAGCGCGGGGUAGCAAUACCCUGGCGGCGACCGGCGCACAGGUGCGUAACGCGUAUGCAACCUGCCCGCAACAGGGGGGAUAACGGAGAGAAAUCUCCACUAAUACCCCGUAUGGUCAGGCUUCCGCAUGGGAGUCUGACGAAAGCUUCGGCGGUUGCGGAUGGGCAUGCGUGGCAUUAGGUAGUUGGCGGGGCAACGGCCCACCAAGCCCACGAUGCCUAGGGGAGCUGAGAGGCUUAUCCCCCACACUGGUACUGAGACACGGACCAGACUCCUACGGGAGGCAGCAGUGAGGAAUAUUGGUCAAUGGAGGGAACUCUGAACCAGCCAUGCCGCGUGCGGGAAGAAGGCCCUAUGGGUUGUAAACCGCUUUUAACCGGGAGUAAUAAGGGCCGUGCGCGGUCCGAUGAGAGUACCGGUGGAAUAAGCAUCGGCUAACUCCGUGCCAGCCGCCGC
rnacentral:rRNA from 1 species